AACAAGUUCAAGGAACAAAACGAGAUUUUGAUGGAUGAGCUGCUGACCAGCAGCUUGAUCAUAGUGAGCACCCGUUUUCUCAAAUAUCUUCUUGGCAUCAGCUGUUCGUAU
ensembl:ncRNA F26A10.20 ncRNA